CCUGCUCCUUCCGGCUUCAGGCUCUCAUAAGGUCAAUCUCACAUCCCCUAUCUUUUCUUUUUUAUCUUCGUUGUUCCUUAACAUCCCUCCCCUCACUUCUCAAUUUGUGCCAAUUGCUAGCCUUGGGGUAGAGCACUGGAUUCUGGAAGCUGACGUGUUGCUGAGUCCUCUGACAGCAGGAGGGUCAAGUUUGGCAGCCCUGCUAGCUUGGCAUCUGAUUCCGUGCUCCUGCUCAGAGAGAGUGAACCAAGCCUGGCUGAAUUCAACUGCUGUGUCUCAGAAUGGCUGUCAUCAAAGAAGACAAAAUCAACAUGG